AUGGACAAGCUUCCCAAGCGCCCGGCUAACUACGUGCCACUUAGCCCGGUUGGGUUCCUUCCGCGCGCCAGUGCAGUGUACGGCGACCGCACGUCGGUCGUCUACGGGCGUCUCAAGUUCACGUGGAGGCAGACGCACGAGCGCUGCCACCGCCUCGCCGCGGCCCUCGUCUCCCUCGGCGUCCUCAAGAACGACGUCGUCUCCGUCCUCGCGCCCAACGUGCCGGCAAUGUACGAGAUGCACUUCGCCGUGCCCAUGGCUGCUGCCGUGCUCAACACCAUCAACACGCGCCUGGACGCCAAGGCGGUGGCGGUCAUCCUGAGGCACGCCCAGGCCAAGGUCCUCUUCGUCGACUAUGAGUACGUGCGCCUCGCUCACGACGCGCUCCAAAUCGUUGCCGAUGCCGGCGCGCCCGUGCCGCUUGUCGCCGUCAUCGACGAUAUCGACAGGCCCACCUUAUAUCGCCCGUGCCGCUUGCACAGAAAUUAA
rnacentral:rRNA from 1 species